AACGAACGCUGGCGGCAGGCUUAACACAUGCAAGUCGAGCGCCCCGCAAGGGGAGCGGCAGACGGGUGAGUAACGCGUGGGAAUCUACCCAUCACUACGGAACAACUCCGGGAAACUGGAGCUAAUACCGUAUACGUCCUUCGGGAGAAAGAUUUAUCGGUGAUGGAUGAGCCCGCGUUGGAUUAGCUAGUUGGUGGGGUAAUGGCCCACCAAGGCGACGAUCCAUAGCUGGUCUGAGAGGAUGAUCAGCCACACUGGGACUGAGACACGGCCCAGACUCCUACAGGAGGCAGCAGUGGGGAAAAUUGGACAAUGGGCGCGAGCCUGAUCCAGCCAUGCCGCGUGAGUGAUGAAGGCCCUAGGGUUGUAAAGCUCUUUCACCGGUGAAGAUAAUGACGGUAACCGGAGAAGAAGCCCCGGCUAACUUCGUGCCAGCAGCCGCCGUAA
rnacentral:rRNA from 1 species